AAAAAAAAAGAAAAAAUAUCUUUUUUAACGAUUAAAAGUUUAAAAAUGUGUUACAUUUCUAUAACAGAACAGAAAAAUGUAUUCAAUAAUAAAAUAUAACGUAAUCAUUUUGGUUACAUUUGGAAUAUAGUAUUAUAACGCAAAUUAGGUUUUAUACGUGGAUAAACGAGGAAAUGAAUAAUUUAAAUUAUAUGGUCACGUAUAUAGUGUACGCUAAAAUAGACAUGUCAGAGUCUAAAAUAUUCGAAAUAGGAUAAAGAUCGCACCUUAGGUAAUGGGCAAACACGAAGUGCCAUAAGCAAAGACGUUCGAAGAUUUUCUAUGCUAUCAACACUCAGCCUCAUUACUAAGUCAUCUCCAAUGCCUACUGUGAAAACGAAUUCCUCCGUUACUCUGGCAAGAUCCCUUGAGAGAAGACCCGCUAAACAAAAAGUUUUUCUUAGUAAAGAAAAGGGACAUCAAUAUUGGGAAGAACGCGCUCUUGCAGAAUUUUUUUACGCGUAUACAAGGUGUCUCAAGACGAAUGAUACAAUACCGAUCAGAAAAUUGUUUUACCAACAAAGAUGAAUUGAAAACGUAGAAUGAAAGUUUUGCAUUUGAAAGCUACUUUGUAAGAAAAUUCAGUUCGAAAUGAUAGUGCUCAUCGAUACUUUGUAAACGACUGAACCGUUAUAGGAGAUGUAUUGUACUUGUUAAUGGGUCAAGAGUUACGAAAAUUUGUCAAACUCGACUGCCCGCAGAAAAGAUUCUUUGUAAAAAAAAAAAAAAAGGAAAAGGUUUGAACACCGAAUAAAAGAAAAUUACGAAUGGAAAAAUGUUAUUCGUAUUCAAUUGUAUAAUUCUGUAUAAAACAUCCUGCAUAUUAGAACAUCUGCUUUUGAAUUUAGCGGCAAGUAAAAGAUUCACUAAUUAUUAAGAUUAUUUGCGCGAUAAAACUUUAUACUAUUCGUAUUAAUUUGAAGUUGGAUUUAGAAUUUCUGGAAUAACGUUGAGAUCUCUACAACACGUGCAAAUUUUAUAUCUUCGCGCUAAGAUAUUACAGUCAAGUUUUAUCGAAUUGCUACAAGCAACGAACCUAUCAAAAAUAAUCUUAUCGCAAUAAUAAAUUAUAUGUGAUGAUAAUCUCGCAUUGUAACAUUCAGAAAUGGUGUAUAUUACAAUACCUAUCAAUUGUUACUAGUGUACGUUAAUAAAGUAUGAUGCAUCAGUACUAAAAAGUGAAAAGAGUUGACGUCAAUAGACAUGGCAAAUGGAAUUCAUUUUAUAUAGUAAUUCGUUAAUUGCCUAUACAUAAUUAUGGAUAAAUGGCGCCGUUUAUGAUCGAUGAUAGUAGUUGAAGUUUGUACUUGCAAUUAGAAAAUUAAUAAUAGGAAUGAUAAAAGUAUAAAGUAGUUCGUGAAGCGAUGCAUGUCAGAACGAAGAACAUUGUUUUAUUUCAGCGGUAUUUUAUAAUGAAUGGCGUUGUUCGUCAACGAUAUGUAAAUUGCAGUAUAAUUUUCAAACGUCU